GUAGUCGUGGCCGAGUAGUUAAGGCAACGGACGCGAAAUCCAUUUGGGAUUCCCUGCACAAGGACUUCGAAUCCUGUCGACUACG
rnacentral:tRNA from 1 species